GACGAACGCUGGCGGCGUGCCUAAUACAUGCAAGUAGAACGCUGAAGGAGGAGCUUGCUUCUCUGGAUGAGUUGCGAACGGGUGAGUAACGCGUAGGUAACCUGCCUGGUAGCGGGGGAUAACUAUUGGAAACGAUAGCUAAUACCGCAUAAUAGCAGUUAUUGCAUGAUAACUGUUUGAAAGGUGCAAUUGCACCGCUACCAGAUGGACCUGCGUUGUAUUAGCUAGUUGGUGGGGUAACGGCUCACCAAGGCGACGAUACAUAGCCGACCUGAGAGGGGGAUCGGCCACACUGGGACUGAGACACGGCCCAGACUCCUACGGGAGGCAGCAGUAGGGAAUCUUCGGCAAUGGACGGAAGUCUGACCGAGCAACGCCGCGUGAGUGAAGAAGGUUUUCGGAUCGUAAAGCUCUGUUGUAAGAGAAGAACGAGUGUGAGAGUGGAAAGUUCACACUGUGACGGUAUCUUACCAGAAAGGGACGGUUAACUACGUG
rnacentral:rRNA from 1 species